rnacentral:rRNA from 1 species
CGUGAGGAACCUGCCUUGGAGUGGGGAAUAACAGCCAGAAAUGGCUGCUAAUACCGCAUAAUGCAGUUGGGUCGCAUGGCUCUGACUGCCAAAGAUUUAUCGCUCUAAGAUGGCCUCGCGUCUGAUUAGUUUGUUGGCGGGGUAACGGCCCACCAAGACGACGAUCAGUAGCCGGACUGAGAGGUUGGCCGGCCACAUUGGGACUGAGACACGGCCCAGACUCCUACGGAAGGCAGCAG